GAGCACUGUUUCGGCAAGGGGGUCAUCCCGACUUACCAACCCGAUGCAAACUGCGAAUACCGGAGAAUGUUAUCACGGGAGACACACGGCGGGUGCUAACGUCCGUCGUGAAGAGGGAAACAACCCAGACCGCCAGCUAAGGUCCCAAAGUCAUGGUUAAGUGGGAAACGAUGUGGGAAGGCCCAGACAGCCAGGAUGUUGGCUUAGAAGCAGCCAUCAUUUAAAGAAAGCGUAAUAGCUCACUGGUCGAGUCGGCCUGCGCGGAAGAUGUAACGGGGCUAAACCAUGCACCGAAGCUGCGGCAGCGACGCUGAUGCGUUGUUGGGUAGGGGAGCGUUCUGUAAGCCUGCGAAGGUGUGCUGUGAGGCAUGCUGGAGGUAUCAGAAGUGCGAAUGCUGACAUAAGUAACGAUAAAGCGGGUGAAAAGCCCGCUCGCCGGAAGACCAAGGGUUCCUGUCCAACGUUAAUCGGGGCAGGGUGAGUCGACCCCUAAGGCGAGGCCGAAAGGCGUAGUCGAUGGGAAACAGGUUAAUAUUCCUGUACUUGGUGUUACUGCGAAGGGGGGACGGAGAAGGCUAUGUUGGCCGGGCGACGGUUGUCCCGGUUUAAGCGUGUAGGCUGGUUUUCCAGGCAAAUCCGGAAAAUCAAGGCUGAGGCGUGAUGACGAGGCACUACGGUGCUGAAGCAACAAAUGCCCUGCUUCCAGGAAAAGCCUCUAAGCAUCAGGUAACAUCAAAUCGUACCCCAAACCGACACAGGUGGUCAGGUAGAGAAUACCAAGGCGCUUGAGAGAACUCGGGUGAAGGAACUAGGCAAAAUGGUGCCGUAACUUCGGGAGAA
rnacentral:rRNA from 1 species